rnacentral:sRNA from 1 species
GUCGGGUGUGGUGGUACACAACUGUAGUCCCAGCUACUCAGGAGGGAGGCUGAGGCAGGAGGAUUGCUUGAGUUUAGGAGCUCAAGGCCAGUCUGCACAAUAAAGCAAGACCCUGUCUCUU